ensembl:lncRNA
GUGGUGAAGAUUCUCGUCUCGCAAGGAAAGCCUUAAUUUUUAGAGAACCAUUAAGAAAGCCAGUUAUAAGGCCCCCCCCCCCCCCCCCCCGAGACAACGAUAAGACCAAGGUCCCUCCCGGUUGUUUAGUCGUCUUGUCUACGUCAUUUUUUUUACCUAGGAAAUUGAGAAUCCUGGUUUCUGACCACCUAGGUAACUAGAAACUCUGGGUUUUUGUUUCCUGGGUUGUUGGAAAUGCCUGGGUUCUGAUUUUAUGUGUAAAUUAAAACCCCUGGUUUCAAUUCUAUGGGUAAGUGAAAUAGGCCUUUUCUGGAAACCUAUGGGUUAUCUAGUGUGUAAAUACAGUAUAAAUACUGGAGCUUAAGCUCAGGGUAGGGGGAUCACUUCUGAGAAUUCUCAUCGGUGUGGAUCUCGUGUGGUGGAAUGGAACAAUAAAGCUGGACCCUUGCUUCUUCUCACUCACGG